rnacentral:rRNA from 1 species
UACGUAGGGGGCAAGCGUUGUCCGGAUUUAUUGGGCGUAAAGAGCGUGUAGGCGGCCAUUCAGGUCGGUUGUGAAAACUGGAGGCUUAACCUCCAGACGUCGACCGAAACCGUGUGGCUAGAGUCCGGAAGAGGAGAGUGGAAUUCCUGGUGUAGCGGUGAAAUGCGCAGAUAUCAGGAAGAACACCUGUUGCGAAGGCGGCUCUCUGGUACGGAACUGACGCUGAGACGCGAAAGCGUGGGGAGCGAACAGG